UGAAAUAGCUCAGUUGGUAGAGCAAUUCACUCGUAAUGAAUAGGUCGCAGGUUCAAGUCCUGUUUUCAGC
rnacentral:tRNA from 2 species